rnacentral:misc_RNA from 1 species
AUCUUGUCGAUCCGACUCUCGCAUCGUUUCAAGAGGAGCAGUUGGAGCAAAUUGGUCAGUUGCUAAGAUCUUGCUUACAUUCCAAUCCAGAGCAGAGACCAACAAUGAAGCUCAUUACCUCUAGGUUGAGAUUAAUAACUGGGAUAACCCCGGAUGAAGCGAUCCCGAGGCUUUCUCCUCUUUGGUGGGCUGAGCUUGAGAUUGCGUCGGAAGGACGAUGAGGUGUGGAAUCUUAAUCAUUGCAAGUAUGAGCAUAGCUUCUGUAUCUUGUCUAGUUUUCUGCUGGAUGAUACUGUAGAUAUCAUCACCUUAGAAGUUUUGCUUGUAUAUAUGUGAGAUAGUUAAUAUAAUACAUAACAAGCUUUA